ensembl:lncRNA
AUACACGUACAUCAGCCAAAAGAAGAAUGCCCUGUGACAUUUGUUCUGAUACCACCACAGGAGACACCCGGACGUUCAGCUAAUUAGGGAAGGAAAGAGUCCCGACUGUGCUGUGAUGGGGAGUUCAAGUCAGGUGGCUGCAGUGAUAGCUGUUCUCCUCGACAAAUGAUCUGAUGGAUAUUUUCUCACUGCUACACUCCCCCAACCUGCAUGUUUAUACUAUAUUUAAUGGACUCCUGAGAAAACCACUCUGUCUUCCCCAUUUAACUUUAUAUUGUACAACACGAUAUGCUGCUCCAAGUACUUUUCCUUAAAGUGUCUCUGGAAAACUUUCUGAGUCAGCAGAGAGAAACGCAGCCUCACAGCAGCAAGCUUUUCCAUGGCAGCAGAGCGGGCUGGGAACCGCACACGGGAUCUGAUCUGUGAAUGGCCCUCAGUGCAAUCCAGAGUAACAAUGCGGCUCAUCGAUGAAAACCUUCAUUGUCUUUGCUCUCAGUCUCUGAGGACUCACUGCACAAAGGGGGUUUUGUCACAGUGCCCAGCCUCUCUCCUUUGUCGGAAGUACAGCAAACCAGUCAAAUCUACUGCUUAAAGGUGAUGCAGCAGGGUUUCUAAACAUGCCCUGCUUCAGAUAAGAACCCCUUGUCUCCUGGAAGCUUUUGUAUAGGCAAAAUUUGUAUGCUCUUUUCUUUCUACACUGCAGUAGAAAGUGGAUAAUGAAGACGGUUUCCAUUGCGGCAGUCAUGUCGGUGAUAUACGGCAUCAUUUAAAUUCUCCAUUGUAACAAUGAAAACCUACACUUAUGGCAUGUAAAUCACCAAAAGGCAGAGUGGAACAGCAGCCCUCUUAGCAGACAGCACCACUUUUCCAUCCAUAGGGUGAAGGAAAACUUAAGGACAGAAUGGAGUUUUUUGUCAUUUGUUUAUGGACAAUAGACUUUCUCAAGUUAACGACUAGUUGUGUAAAGAGUUACUUCACUAACUUCCUUACUCCUUAAUUUGUUGUGGGAUCCUUUAAAAAUAAAUAGCAAGAAUAAAAAAACAAAAUGUGGCCUGAAAUUUGUGUCAUAAUCGAAACAAAAACAAAAUCUCUGGGCAGGGUCCUUUCAGUAGUUGUAUUUCCCCAGGUGAACUUUAAAUGUUUUCUGAGGUCUUUAAGGACCAAAGUUGAUAACUUUUGAGCAUUUUGGGACAGCAGAAAAUAGAUUGUCACGUUUUACAUUUACACAUUCAGCUUAUGUAAAUCAAAAUGACUCAUUUGUUGUCACUUUGAGAGUCAAAAUGUUUUUUGGCUCAAGAGUGAAUCCUGUUUAAAGCUGCCCUUCCAUAAACGGCUACUUGAGUUUGACUCCAAAAUCACCCAUGCUGUGUUAAAAUGCCCAACUUUACAGCAUCUGUUUACACUAAAAGUUGCUGAAAGGAUUGUUGUUUUGGUUUCUGUGUUUCGUUUUUUAAACCUGAAUCACAAUGAAUUUUGCGGUUUGCUACCGGAGCUAGCUGGUUAACACUAGUUCUAGGUGGUCAUAGCUCAGUUCAGCUGUCUAGCCUGAAAAAACAAGAUUGCAAUGACCAAAACCAAUGGGUGACGCCUAUGAGUCAAAUAUUUAACUGCACCCUCUAAAUGACCAGUGGAUGGAUGCUUGCCUUGAGAUACCAUAUGUUUCAUCUCAGCAAUGCCUGGCAUCAUGUUCCUGGUCAAAACUCAACUACAAACAGACAGAUGUUGAUGUUGUUUCCAUGCAGAACAAAGGU